AGGAUGAACGCUGGCGGUCUGCUUAACACAUGCAAGUCGAACGGAGUACCUCGGUACUUAGUGGCGGACGGGUGAGUAACGCGUGAGAAUCUGCCCUUAGGUCGGGGACAACCAUUGGAAACGAUGGCUAAUACCGGAUAAGCCGAGAGGUAAAAGAUUAAUUGCCUAGGGAAGAGCUCGCGUCUGAUUAGCUAGUUGGUGAGGUAAAGGCUCACCAAGGCAUCGAUCAGUAGCUGGUCUGAGAGGAUGAUCAGCCACACUGGGACUGAGACACGGCCCAGACUCCUACGGGAGGCAGCAGUGGGAAUUUUCCGCAAUGGGCGAAAGCCUGACGGAGCAAGACCGCGUGAGGGAGGAAGGCUCUUGGGUUGUAAACCUCUUUUUCUUGGGGAAGAACAAAUGACGGUACCCAAGGAAUCAGCAUCGGCUAACUCCGUGCCAGCAGCCGC
rnacentral:rRNA from 1 species